rnacentral:rRNA from 1 species
CUGCGUACCUUUUGUAUAAUGGGUCAGCGACUUACGUUGUGUUGCGAGCUUAACCGAAUAGGGGAGGCGUAGCGAAAGCGAGUCUGAUAAGGGCGUUUAGUAGCACGGCGUAGACCCGAAACCGGAUGAUCUAUCCAUGGCCAGGAUGAAGGUGCCGUAACAGGUACUGGAGGUCCGAACCCACUAACUUUGAAAAGUUAGGGGAUGAGCUGUGGAUAGGGGUGAAAGGCUAAACAAAUCCGGAAAUAGCUGGUUCUCCCCGAAAACUAUUUAGGUAGUGCGUCUUAUAUCACUGACGGGGGUAAAGCACUGUUAUGGCUAGGGGGUCAUCGCGACUUACCAAACCAUGGCAAACUCUGAAUACCGUCAAGUGCGAGUAAGGCAGACAGACAGUGGGUGCUAACGUCCAUUGUCAAGAGGGAAACAACCCAGACCGCCAGCUAAGGUCCCCAAGACACAGUUAAGUGGGAAACGAAGUGGGAAGGCAUAGACAGCUAGGAGGUUGGCUUAGAAGCAGCCACCCUUUAAAGAAAGCGUAAUAGCUCACUAGUCGAG